UGUUGAAGCCACCUACUUAAGGGCACAGCGC
rnacentral:piRNA from 1 species